rnacentral:rRNA from 1 species
CAUUAACAAGCCGUGAAGGUCACCUCCCAAUAGGACGGUGAUCCCUCACCCGGCCACCCUUGUUUACCUUCACCUGUUGCUUUGGUGGGCCCGCUGAAAGGCCGCCGGGGGACAUUUUAGUUCUCGGGUGAGUGCCCACCAAAGUCAUACCUGAACUCUUUCUGAAGAACAUGCAGUCUGAGCAAGUGAAAUGAAUCUAGUUAAAAACUUUCAACAACGGAUCUCUUGGUUCUGGCAUCGAUGAAGAACGCAGCGAAAUGCGAUAAGUAAUGUGAAUUGCAGAAUUCCGUGAAUCAUCGAAUCUUUGAACGCAUAUUGCGCCCUCUGGUAUUCCGGGGGGCAUGCCUGUCCGAGCGUCAUUACAACCUUCAAGCACGGCUUGUGUGUUGAGCGGUCUGUUUUUUAUGAACAGGGCUCGAAAUGCAGCGGCGAUGGCGAGAUUGGUGCCCGAGUGUAUGGGGCUUUGUCACACGCUCUGGUGGCUCCAGCUUGCAGUCUGCCAAACUGUAUAUAUAUAUGCUUCUGUAUAUAUGUACAACCCCAUCUGAUUGACCUCGGAUCAGGUAGGAACACCC